AAUGAACGCUGGCGGCGUGCUUAACACAUGCAAGUCGAACGAGAACUCUUCUGCUUGCAGAAGAUAGUAAAGUGGCGAACGGGUGAGUAACGCGUGGGUAAUCUACCUUCGAAUCGGGGAUAACGUUGCGAAAGCGAUGCUAAUACCGGAUAAUAUUCUUUGGACCUCGGUCCUUUGAAUCAAGGGUGGCCUCUUCUUGAAAGCUACUGUUUGAAGAUGAGCCCGCGUACCAUUAGCUUGUUGGUGGGGUAAUGGCCUACCAAGGCUUCGAUGGUUAGCUGGUCUGAGAGGAUGAUCAGCCACACUGGAACUGACACACGGUCCAG
rnacentral:rRNA from 1 species